rnacentral:rRNA from 1 species
GAUGAACGCUGGCGGCGUGCCUAAUACAUGCAAGUCGAGCGAAUGGAUUGAGAGCUUGCUCUUAUGAAGUUAGCGGCGGACGGGUGAGUAACACGUGGGUAACCUGCCCAUAAGACUGGGAUAACUCCGGGAAACCGGGGCUAAUACCGGAUAACAUUUUGAACCGCAUGGUUCGAAAUUGAAUGGCGGCUUCGGCUGUCACUUAUGUAUGGACCCGCGUCGCAUUAGCUAGUUGGUGGGGUAACGGCUCACCAAGGCAACGAUGCGUAGCCGACCUGAGAGGGUGAUCGGCCACACUGGGACUGAGACACGGCCCAGACUCCUACGGGAGGCAGCAGUAGGGAAUCUUCCGCAAUGGACGAAAGUCUGACGGAGCAACGCCGCGUGAGUGAUGGAGGCUUUCGGGUCGUAAAACUCUGUUGUUAGGGAAGAACAAGUGCUAGUUGAAUAAGCUGGCACCUUGACGGUACCUAACCAGAAAGCCACGGCUAACUACGUGCCAGCCGCCGCCGUAA